AUGUACCCUUCAGGAUCUUGUUGAAAUGCAGAUUCUAAUGCAGUGGGCCUGGGCAGAGUCUUGAGAGUCUGCAUUUCUAACAAAUGCCCAGGUGACGCCAAA
rnacentral:miRNA from 1 species